rnacentral:snoRNA from 1 species
AAGUGAUGAUGAGAUUGAGAGAGAGGAUGAGAGGGAGGAGUAACAAAAGUGAAAACAAAAACUUGAAGGUGAAAACACUUUCAAAUAGAUUUCAGUUUUUUGUUUUUGUUUUAACUUUUGUUACUUCUCUCUCAUCCUCUCCUCUCACGUUCUCUCUCAAUCCCAUCUCCACUCUCAUUCUCACUUC